rnacentral:rRNA from 1 species
GAUGAACGCUGGCGGCGUGCCUAAUACAUGCAAGUCGAGCGAACGGACGAGAAGCUUGCUUCUCUGAUGUUAGCGGCGGACGGGUGAGUAACACGUGGAUAACCUACCUAUAAGACUGGGAUAACUUCGGGAAACCGUAGCUAAUACCGGAUAAUAUUUUGAACCGCAUGGUUCAAAAGUGAAAGACGGUCUUGCUGUCACUUAUAGAUGGAUCCGCGCUGCAUUAGCUAGUUGGUAAGGUAACGGCCUACCAAGGCAACGAUGCAUAGCCGACCUGAGAGGGUGAUCGGCCACACGGGAACUGAGACACGGUCCAGACUCCUGCGGGAGGCAGCAGUAGGGAAUCUGCCGCAAUGGGCGAAAGCCUGACGGAGCAACGCCGCGUGAGUGAUGAAGGUCUUCGGAGCGUAAAACUCUGUUAUGAGGGAAGAACAUAUGUGUAAGUAACUGUGCACAUCGUGACGGUACCUAAUCAGAAAGCCACGGCUAACUACGUG